AGGAAAUGAGUAAAAACUUAAUGAGACAUCGGAGAAAAAUUCAGAAGAGUAUGAUAGAAAACUUUCAAAAGAUGGAGUCAAACCUUCUGACAAAGUUGAAACCAGAUUCUUACAGAAGAUCAAAAUCUGAAUUAAGUCCAAAUUCAUCGUUCCUGAGAUAUCGCAGACAAUCCUCAAUCAAAUCAAGAAGAUCC